AAGUCCAAGAGCGGCAUUUUUUUCGUACUCCCUCCAAAUUAUUUUUCAUUUUCCUCCUUCAUUUUUGUAUUUUUCAUCAAGAACCUAGAAGAAUGGAAAAAUUAAAAUCAAUUGGAACCCUAACACCCAACAUUCAUCUCUAUGUCUAGUUGGAUCGAUUACUCUGGUAUGUCAUCAUCAACUUCAUUUUCAUUUUCUUUUGAUUGCUACUAGAUAAAGAUCCAUUAUUUUCCUAAUAAAUUAAUAAAGAACAUCAAAAUAGUUUGAGUCUCUCUUGUUGUUGCAUAGUUUUUGUGCUUUUUCUUAUUCAUCGUCACUCGUUAAUGAGAUACGAACCACUAGGCACGCUUUUUCCUUUGAAAUUGAAGAAGCCAAAAGUUGUGCCUACGAGCUCAAGGUACCUUCUAAUCUCUUUAUUUUAUUUAUUCUGAUAAAUUGCAAGUAUCUAUUAGGGAUUUUUUUCAAAAUUUUUUUUGCAUCAGGUGCUUUGUGAACUAUUAUUAAUUUCUGGAGUAUUUAUUUUUAUUUUAUUUUAUAGUCAUGUUCUUUUGGCCAUUGAAAUUAUUUGUAUCCAGAGAAUGAAAUUUACUCUCUGAAUACAGUAGAUCUGAACAAUAAAAACAAAUCUUGAGAAACUAUAGGUAAAAAAAGUAGUAAGAAAGAAAUCUUCAAAAUGUUUGUGGAUACAAAGAACUUUGGAUAUGUAGUUGCUCUGAAUAGUCCAAAUUUAAUUGUUUCUAACUAAAUAUAUAGAUAAAAGAAAUGAGAAAAGAUAAAUAAGUUAUUUUAAUCCGAUAAGUACCGAAAGAAUCGAAUACGCAGACCAAAAAGCUAGUGUUGAUCCCUUAAAUAAUAUUACUCUACCCAUGUGAAUCGGGCUAUAAUUUUCAAUUUGCUCUUUUGAUGAAUUACCUAUUAAAACUCUUUCUUCAAACAAGGUGUUAUUGGAUAGUUUUAUAUGAAUUCUUUAUAUUAGGGGAUAAACAAAUGAAAAACCAAAAGGCGUCAUGCUUUUAUCUAUAGCUUAUCAAGAGAUUUUUGGAUAGAUGUAUUAGCAUUAUGUUCAAUCUUUUUAUUACCCCUCUAUAAUAAAUGAAUAUUCUAGAAGUUAGGUAUGCACAAAUGUACUUUGUUAUAAUUGUCUUUCUGAAUUAUUGUAGCUCUCAAGAGAGUACGGACUGAAAAUAGUGAGAAUUUUAUUAUCGUGAUCAGUGAUAUGCUGCUCUGUUUCCCUUGCACAAAUAGAUCAGAAACUAUUACAAGGUACUAGGGAAGCCAAAUGUAGUACAGUGCAAAAGCUAAAUACUAAUCCUAUUCUACUAGAUUUUUGCUGUACUUGGAAACUUAAAAGAUUUAUUUUCUAUCCACAAUGUCGUUGUUGCAGUAGUUGGAUAAGUUCCUGCUACUGAGCAUUACUUUGUUCAUCUUCAAUGGGAUUAGUUUAUUGUAAAUUUGUCUUCUUCUACUUCUCUUUAAUAUUCUUAUGUCUACAUCAUUAAAAUGAUGUUCGAUAGAGGAAAAUUAGUUUUUAACAUCUAACUUGAUAUCAACACAGAGUUUGGUGGAGAUUUUCUUAAGCCCACAUUGGAGACAGGUUUAUACAUUAUAAUAUGUCUACUUAUUUUCUAAUAUAUUGAUAUAUACUAGGUUUUCGAGGCAAAAAGCAGCCAUGCACAACUGACAUAAACACCAUGAAUGCUAUUUCAAAGUAAAGAUUCCUUUUCUUUUUUUCAUAUUUGAAUGUAUGUUUCUCAUCUCCAUUCUGCAACUUGCUAUCUCUGCAAUAUCUAUGGUAGUUGUUAGAUCCUUAUUUUCAGGCAUGUUGCUAAUUUGUUAGUAUAGCAAUGUUAAUAAAUUCUCAUAGUUCUAGAUUAUUUUAAACUUCUAAAUGCUUUAAUGUGAUUGGAGACAUGAUGUAAUAUGUUGGUGAAUGAAAUCUAAGUUGCAUAUUUUUUCUCUUCUUUUCUUUAUUCACUUUCAUUUACAUUUCAUUUGUGCCUUGUUUUUCAUUCUAUUAUUCAUUUUUGUCCUACUUGAGUUUGAUCAGUAGCAUUUGCAGAAUUGAGUUUGUCCGGCAUUCCCCUAGAGAUGUGAACAAACUUUUUGAGUAAUUAAUUUCAGAUAGCUAUUCCUCCAUCGAUCAUAUAUUCGUACAUGUGUAUUAUAUUGGAUAUUGUCCUUUUAUCUUCCGGUUUUUGAAUUCAAUUGCUCGGAUUCAUUGGUGUAUCAAAAUAUAUGGGAAUAUAUAUUUUGAUUCUAGUUAUGAAGAUUAUGAGAUGGUCCAGUACCCAAGGUGAGAAAGAUCAAAGGUGCCAAAGCUGCUAUUGCUUCUCCUAGUUCGACUCCAAUAGAUAUCAAGUAUCAAAGCGGGAAGCAUAAAGGGAGUGGACAUGCUUCUGAUAGAGGACUCUAUGAGAAAAUCAAAGUUGGAUGCACAGAUACCUCUGAACCUCAUUCAAGUGGUAAAAAGAAAACAUAUGGGGAAGCUGCUAUUAAGGUACUGCAUUAUGAAAGGCAUAUAAUUUUGGAGACUAGUGGCGAGGUAUAUAUGGUAUGUGAAGCCAGACAACUAUUCUUUGAAUAGUAAAAUAGAGAUUAAAUAGUUGUUCAGAUAAUCUGGCAUGUGGAAGAUUUAUCGUGAUCAAGAGUUGGAAAGACUUUAAUGGCAUCAUUUAUUGUAUAGUAUUGUAGCAAUUUGAUAAUGCCAUUAGUAGACAGCAAAUCACACCAGUUAUUAAAUUCAAAUAGUUUACCUUUUUGGAUAUGUUGUUGAUACUUUGAAACUAUGGAUUAGUAUAUUUUGUUGUGAAUUUAA